rnacentral:lncRNA from 1 species
CUCAGCUGACUCUUACCAAUAGGUAGGAACAAGGUCAGUUUGACCUGCUUGGUCUUAAACACCUAGCAAAAACAGUUAAAAACCUAAGCACAGCCAUUCCUGGGCAUUUAAAAAGAAUUCUUAGGCAAAAAUGCCUGAUAACUAUCAAUAAAAAACUGUCAGAAGUUUUUAGUCAGUUUAAGGCCUACAGAUCUUCCUAACUUCCUACAUAGGUAGAUGUAAUCAAUGUUUAUUAAUAUAAUUAUCUAGCCAUAAGUAACAAAAGCAUCUUUACUGAACACAGAGGUCAUGCCAAAAAUGUGUUUUUACAAAAACCAGAUGACAUUAACUAAUUUAACUAAAUGUUGUGUCUACAUUCCUGAUAAUUCUGUCAAUGUUAAAGAUUUAUGUUCCCUAAAAAAGUGCCUUAUUAGGCUUUGUUAGGCCUUGUUAUGGGGACAAUUUCUCAGGUACUUCUUUCACCUCCUGGUAAACAAUUAUUAAUUUCUGUCAUUUUCAUGAUAUUCAUGGAUAGGUUCCAGAUGCUACAACUGCUAUUUUGUAUUAAUCUUAAUUCAGCACUCAUGUCUUUUUGUUUCUCUCAUAGAAGUGCCCACCCCAGGUGAACCAUGGACUCCUUGACCCACUCAGUUUCUAAAAAUGGCCCUCAGCCAUCAAAUAAAUAUAGAUUUAGGAAAACUAGAAAAGUCAAUCUCCAAACUAGAAGUUUCACUAGACUGUCUGACAGAAAUAGUCUUACAAAACAGAUGAGGUCUAGAUGGUCUCUUUCUGAAACAAGGAGGACUUUGUAUGGCUCCAGGAGAAACUUGUUUCUAUGCAAACCAUUCUGGGAUAAUGAAGGACAGUUUGGUGCUUGUGAGAAACAGGUUAAAGGAAAGAGAUGAAGCACUAGAAACUUCAGGCAAUUGGUUCCAAAACCUAUUAUCAUGGUCCC